AUGAACGCUGGCGGCGUGCCUAAUACAUGCAAGUCGAACGAAACUUCUUUAUCACCGAGUGCUUGCACUCACCGAUAAAGAGUUGAGUGGCGAACGGGUGAGUAACACGUGGGCAACCUGCCCAAAAGAGGGGGAUAACACUUGGAAACAGGUGCUAAUACCGCAUAACCAUAGUUACCGCAUGGUAACUAUGUAAAAGGUGGCUAUACUACCGCUUUUGGAUGGGCCCGCGGCGCAUUAGCUAGUUGGUAGGGUAAAGGCUUACCAAGGCAAUGAUGCGUAGCCGAAUUGAGAGGUUGAUCGGCCACAUUGGGACUGAGACACGGCCCAAACUCCUACGGGAGGCAGCAGUAGGGAAUCUUCCACAAUGGGCGAAAGCCUGAUGGAGCAACGCCGCGUGGGUGAAGAAGGUCUUCGGAUCGUAAAACCCUGUUGCUAGAGAAGAAAGUGCGUGAGAGUAACUGUUCACGUUUCGACGGUAUCUAACCAGAAAGCCACGGCUAACUACGUG
rnacentral:rRNA from 1 species